rnacentral:lncRNA from 1 species
CACAGACUUGGCGUGUUGAGAAGACAGAAUUUCACGCCAGGUGCAGCUCACUGUGUAGCACAGCUUGCUUCUGUGAGGAUGCGCAUAGGAUACCCCAAACCUGCCCCUGCUACUGGUUUCCCCAAGCAUCUGUCGAGAGUGUCGCAUUUGCCAGGCGCUGUGCUAGAGCCGAGGGGUUCCAAGACGAGAAGCAAGCGUUCUCCUGACCUGGCGGGGCUCACAGUUUGCCAUGUGACAACUGCGUGGGAUAAAGGCCUGACAGAUGACAAUCACGGUCUCAGCCACACUAUGUGCCACGUGGUCCAGACGGAACAGAAGCCGAGACGCAGAGGUGGCGCAGGCACGGCGCUGGACCCAGGAGGAUGAGCAAGUGUUGGCUGUUGCAUUUUGCUGCAGAGUGGGAGGAAGAUGGGGCGAUGGAACCGGGCGCUGCCUGGAGGCGUUCUCACACCCUCAGAGUGGGAGGGCAUCUCUCUGGCUUCUUUCCCGAUGUCCAAGGACUGCACAAGGCAGAAGAGAGGCUCCGAAGCUGGAAGACAGAAUUUCUCAUCAGGCCUAGCAGUGCCUUUGGGGGCAAAUCGGGCCCACAGGCCUGUUUUGCUUGGCCCCCACAGCAUCAAAAAGGUUCGAGUCUGCAGACCUGUGCCCAGAUGACACGC